rnacentral:rRNA from 1 species
AACGAAGGCUGGCGGCAUGCCUAACACAUGCAAGUCGAACGAGACCUUCGGGUCUAGUGGCGCACGGGUGCGUAACGCGUGGGAACCUGCCCUUAGGUUCGGAAUAACUCCCCGAAAGGGGUACUAAUACCGGAUAAUGUCUUCGGACCAAAGAUUUAUCGCCUUUGGAUGGGCCCGCGUUGGAUUAGCUGGUUGGUAGGGUAAAAGCCUACCAAGGCGACGAUCCAUAGCUGGUCUGAGAGGAUGAUCAGCCACACUGGGACUGAGACACGGCCCAGACUCCUACGGGAGGCAGCAGUGGGGAAUAUUGGACAAUGGGCGAAAGCCUGAUCCAGCAAUGCCGCGUGAGUGAUGAAGGCCUUAGGGUUGUAAAGCUCUUUUACCCGGGAUGAUAAUGACAGUACCGGGAGAAUAAGCUCCGGCUAACUCCGUG